UGUGAAGCAUGCUUAAUUAACUGGUUGGUAAGAAACCCUCUUCUCUUUCUUUUUAAAGCAUAAACAAUUGCAUCUGUGAGAAGAAAUCUAUUUCCUUUUAGCACAGGUGUGGCUUUUAAAUUCUCUUCACCAUACUUCCUAUCUCUUCAAAUGAAGUUCACAGGAAGGAAAGGUGGUAGUGGUACUAGGAAAGACUUUGUGUAUCUUGCUAGCUAAAAUGCAUUUUCUCCAUUUCUCUAAUUGUAGUUUACAGAAAAUGACUGUGUGCUUGUUUUCCUAAGGCCCAAGCUCCUGAAGUCAGGCUUACAACCUAAGGUAAAGCCCUUGGUGAUGAUCCCAGUGAAAAAGCUGCCGGACUGUGACCAUGGGUCUGACUCAGACCCAGAAGUUUUAAGGAGCCAAGUUUCUGAAGCAUGAGGUCACUGAAUCUUCAAAAACCAAACUAGACACUGACUUUUUAAUGUCUUUGGCUGCUUUCUCAGAUCAUCAAGUUGUCCAGCAUUUUUCAGUACUGAAACCAAUAUUGAUUUCUUUCCGUUUUUAAUAAAGUCAUUGAAAGUGAAUAUCA
rnacentral:lncRNA from 1 species